UCAAGCGAAUAAGGGUUCACGGUGGAUGCCUUGGGACUAUCUGGCGAAGAAGGUCGUGGUAAGCUGCGAAAAGUCGGGGGGAGAAGCACACAUUCUAUGAUCCCCGGAUUACCGAAUGGGGUAACCCGGCAGAAGUUAUGUUCUGUCAUUGGCAACUGAAUUCAUAGGUUGUCAAAGCAAUACCUAGGGAACUGAACCAUCUAAGUACCUAGAGGAAGAGAAAUCAACCGAGAUUCCCAAAGUAGCGGCGAGCGAAAUGGGAAGAGCCUAAACCAGUUGCGUGUAAGCUUCAAGGCGUUGCGUAGCUGGGGUUGUAGGGUUGUAUGUGGGAGUCUUGUUGCUCCCGGUCGAGUAAGAAAUCAAUGUUAUAGUGGAAUACUCUGGAAAGUGUAUCCAAAGAGGGUGACAGACCCGUACGCGAAAUGACAUUGACUCGGCUGUACAAUACCUGAGUAGGACGGGGCACGAGAAACCCUGUUUGAAUCUGGGGAGACCACUCUCCAAGGCUAAAUACGAGAUAGUCACCGAUAGUGAAGCAGUACCGUGAGGGAAAGGUGAAAAGAACCCCGGAAGG
rnacentral:rRNA from 1 species